rnacentral:lncRNA from 1 species
CCGGGCUCUUCCCCGGUUCCAUGUGGAUUAGCAGGACAGACCCUGUUCUGGCCCAGCCAGCCUUGGUGGCUCUAGGGUCGGCUGGUGGGUUUUACCUCCGAAGGGCCCUGGGGACACUCGGGGCACAGGGAGUGGGUGCUUGGGUCAGCUCUCGAGCACCUGUGGCAGGCGGGCGGGCACUCGGCUCAAGCCUACCUGGGUGCGUCCCCCGGUGAGGGGCUCCCAGAGUCACUUCUCCAAGGAGACAUGACGGUGCCCACAGUGGGGACUCCCGGGAUCCCAGCCUGCAGGGGGACUGAGGCGCAGCCGCACGCGGUUCUCCUCCCAGGCCUCGGAGCCGGGAGCUGCACUACUGGGCUCGAGUCUGAGCUCCUGCUGCAGCCGGGCCUCCUGAGGUCCUCCUGUCCGGGCCUCUUUGUCCAGCAGCCCUGCACAGAGUCUGGGGAGCGGGCUCACUCAGACACAUUUUGGAGCCUUCUGCUUGGCCUGGUGGCUUUAGUUUUCUGUCACCGUGGCACAGAGAUGCCCUUUUGUUGGAGCUAAAACUGGCACCAUUUCCACCAGGAGAGGCUUGACUGUCCCCUUCUGUCCUGUCCUUUAUCCGUGCACUUCCUGUGUUCUGGAAUGGACCGGGGACUUCAAGGGGACAGAGGGGCUUUGGGCAGCUCUGCCACCCUGGCACGAGGGGCAGCCGAGCAGUGCUCGUUGGGUACAGGCAGGCCCGGGACACAUUGGAAGGUGGAGCCUGGCUUCCAGGGCGAGGAGGAGCUUCCGUACGGCCCUGGCCAGCCUGAGAUGGGCAGGUCCCUUGGAAAGGCAGGCCCUGCACACCCGGGCCUGGUGCCCGCCCACCCUACCUGGGAGCCAGAAACGACACCCUGGGCACGGGGCACCCCCAGCUUCCCUGCCCCGGCUGUGAAUGGGAGGAGGAGGCACCCGAGUUGGCCUCUGCCCGGGGUCAGGCAUGGCCCUGGACGCUCAGGCCCUGGCCCUGCCCCUCCCUGUGGCGAGUUGCUGCAGCCACGUGGGGUGUGGUGGACAAAGGGGCGGGGCUCCUCUUGGGAGUGGCC